rnacentral:rRNA from 1 species
UACGUAGGGUGCGAGCGUUGCCCGGAUUUAUUGGGCGUAAAGGGCGCGUAGGCGGCCACGCACGUCCGUUGUGAAAUCGCCCGGCUCAACUGGGCGGGGUCGGCGGAUACGGCGUGGCUGGAGCAAGCUAGGGGGCAAUGGAAUUCCCGGUGUAGUGGUGGAAUGCGUAGAUAUCAGGAGGAACACCGGUGGUGUAGACGGCUCUCUGGACCGUAACUGACGCUGAGACACGAAAGCGUGGGUAGCAAACAGG